GAGCCAAUGUUCGUUAGUGAUGGAACUAUUCCCAAAGUUCAAUUACUUCCAUAGCAUUGGCA
rnacentral:pre_miRNA from 1 species